ACCUGGCUGGCUCAGUCAGUAGAGCAUAUGACUUGAUCUUAGGGUUGUGAGUUCGAGCCCCAUGCUGGGUG
rnacentral:tRNA from 1 species